GUCGCUUCUCGGUCUAUUUGUUAAGAUCAAAGUGUAGUAUCUGUUCCUACCGCCUUAAUCUCUGGUAUGUGGUCAACUGAUUGCUCAGAUAUUAUUCUAUUUUACUGACUUUGGUGGGUUCGUAGGGGCAUGCUCUUCGCCCACCGCGCGUCAACCCAGUACAGCAGCUGUUUUCGGGAACGACCCACUUUCU
rnacentral:snRNA from 1 species